AACGAACGCUGGCGGCAUGCCUAACACAUGCAAGUCGAACGAGACCUUCGGGUCUAGUGGCGCACGGGUGCGUAACGCGUGGGAACCUGCCCUUAGGCUCGGAAUAACUCCCCGAAAGGGGUGCUAAUACCGGAUAAUGUCUUCGGACCAAAGAUUUAUCGCCUUUGGAUGGGCCCGCGUUGGAUUAGCUAGUUGGUAGGGUAAAAGCCUACCAAGGCGACGAUCCAUAGCUGGUCUGAGAGGAUGAUCAGCCACACUGGGACUGAGACACGGCCCAGACUCCUACGGGAGGCAGCAGUGGGGAAUAUUGGACAGUGGGCGAAAGCCUGAUCCAGCAAUGCCGCGUGAGUGAUGAAGGCCUUAGGGUUGUAAAGCUCUUUUACCCGGGAUGAUAAUGACAGUACCGGGAGAAUAAGCUCCGGCUAACUCCGUG
rnacentral:rRNA from 1 species